GACGAACGCUGGCGGCGUGCUUAACACAUGCAAGUCGAACGGAAAGGCCCUGCUUUUGUGGGGUGCUCGAGUGGCGAACGGGUGAGUAACACGUGAGUAACCUGCCCUUGACUUUGGGAUAACUUCAGGAAACUGGGGCUAAUACCGGAUAGGAGCUCCUGCUGCAUGGUGGGGGUUGGAAAGUUUCGGCGGUUGGGGAUGGACUCGCGGCUUAUCAGCUUGUUGGUGGGGUAGUGGCUUACCAAGGCUUUGACGGGUAGCCGGCCUGAGAGGGUGACCGGCCACAUUGGGACUGAGAUACGGCCCAGACUCCUACGGGAGGCAGCAGUGGGGAAUAUUGCACAAUGGGCGGAAGCCUGAUGCAGCAACGCCGCGUGCGGGAUGACGGCCUUCGGGUUGGAAACCGCUUUCGCCUGUGACGAAGCGUGAGUGACGGUAAUGGGGAAAGAAGCACCGGCGAACUACGU
rnacentral:rRNA from 1 species